AACAAACGCUGGCGGCGUGCCUAACACAUGCAAGUCGUACGAGAAAGGGUCCUUCGGGGCCUGAGUAAAGUGGCGCACGGGUGAGUAACGCGUGGAUAAUCUGCCCUUCAGUUGGGAAUAACUCAUCGAAAGGUGGGCUAAUACCGAAUAAUGCUGUGAGACCUCGGUUGAUCAGCCAUAGAGAGCCUCUGCUUGCAAGCCCUCGCUGAAGGAUGAGUCCGCGUACCAUUAGCUAGUUGGUAGGGUAAUGGCCUACCAAGGCGACGAUGGUUAGCUGGUCUGAGAGGAUGAUCAGCCACACUGGAACUGAGACACGGUCCAGACUCCGACGGGAGGCAGCAGUGAGGAAUCUUGCGCAAUGGGGGCAACCCUGACGCAGCAACGCCGCGUGAGUGAGGAAGGUCUUCGGAUCGUAAAGCUCUGUCGGAUGGAAAGAACCGCAUAGGGGUAAACAGCCCCUGUGUCUGACGGUACCAUCAAAGGAAGCACCGGCUAACUCCGUGCCAGCAGCCGCCGCAGUAA
rnacentral:rRNA from 1 species